rnacentral:rRNA from 2 species
CGCGCAUCCUGCACAGGUCCGCCUCAGGAUGGGGCUGCGGCCCAUCAGGUAGUUGGCGGGGUAAAGGCCCACCAAGCCGAUAACGGGUGCGGGCUCUGGAAGGAGGAGCCCGGAGAUGGGCACUGAGACAAGGGCCCAGGUCCUACGGGGCGCAGCAGGCGCGAAACCUCCACAAUGCGGGAAACCGCGAUGGGGUUACCCCGAGUGUCGCCCGCUGAGGGCGACUUUUCUGGGGUCUAAAAAGCCCCAGGAAUAAGGGGAGGGCAAGUCUGGUGUCAGCCGCCGCGGUAAUACCAGCUCCCCGAGUGGUCGGGACGUUUAUUGGGCCUAAAGCGCCCGUAGCCGGCCCGGUGUGUCUCCCGUCAAAUCCGCCGGCUCAACCGGCGGACCGCGGGGGAUACUAUCGGGCUAGGGGGCGGGAGAGGUCGGGGGUACUCCCGGGGUAGGGGUAAAAUCCUCUGAUCCCGGGAAGACCACCGGUGGCGAAGGCGUCCGGCCAGAACGCGCCCGACGGUGAGGGGCGAAAGCUGGGGGAGCGAACCGGAUUAGAUACCCGGGUAGUCCCAGCUGUAAACGAUGCGGGCUAGGUGCUGGAGGGGCUACGGGCCCCUCCAGUGCCGCAGGGAAGCCGUUAAGCCCGCCGCCUGGGGAGUACGGCCGCAAGGCUGAAACUUAAAGGAAUUGGCGGGGGAGCACCACAAGGGGUGAAGCCUGCGGUUUAA